rnacentral:rRNA from 1 species
GCCAGAAGGAGGGGGAUACCUACUGGAAACGGUAGCUAAUACCGCAUAACGUCGUAAGACCAAAGUGGGGGACCUUCGGGCCUCAUGCCAUCAGAAGUGCCCAGAUGGGAUUAGCUAGUAGGUGGGGUAACGGCUCACCUAGGCGACGAUCCCUAGCUGGUCUGAGAGGAUGACCAGCCACACUGGAACUGAGACACGGUCCAGACUCCUACGGGAGGCAGCAGUGGGGAAUAUUGCUCAAUGGGCGCAAGCCUGAUGCAGCCAUGCCGCGUGUGUGAAGAAGGCCUUCGGGUUGUAAAG